UACGUAGGGGGCAAGCGUUGUCCGGAUUUAUUGGGCGUAAAGAGCGUGUAGGCGGCUUUGCAAGUCCGUUGUGAAAACUCGAGGGUCAACCUCGAGACGCCGGUGGAAACUGCAAAGCUAGAGUCCGGAAGAGGAGAGUGGAAUUCCUGGUGUAGCGGUGAAAUGCGCAGAUAUCAGGAAGAACACCCGUGGCGAAGGCGGCUCUCUGGGACGGUACUGACGCUGAGACGCGAAAGCGUGGGGAGCGAACAGG
rnacentral:rRNA from 1 species